rnacentral:rRNA from 1 species
ACCUGCGGAAGGAUCAUUGUCGUUACCGUAACCCAAAAUAGACUGUGAACAUGUCAUCUAAGCUGCCGGUUGAUAGGUCUUGCACCUAUCUCUCGGUCGAGGCCGCCAUUCUUCUUUUGGAGGGAUGGUAUGCCUAAAGAACCCACGGCGCUGUAUGGCGUCAAGGUAAACAGUUUUUGCAUGUUGCUUGGGGCCACGACCGGCUUGCCGGACGUGCUACCAGCAGCGAUGUUUGGAAAUUCACAUGACUCUCGGCAACGGAUAUCUCGGCUCUUGCAUCGAUGAAGAACGUAGCAAAAUGCGAUACCUGGUGUGAAUUGCAGAAUCCCGUGAACCAUCGAGUUUUUGAACGCAAGUUGCGCCUGAGACCUUUUGGUCAAGGGCACGUCUGCCUGGGCGUCACGCCAAAAGACACUCCACACCAAACCUGGUCUGGAUGUGGUGUUUGGCCCCUCAUCCCAUCAGGUAUGAUGGGCCAAAGAGGCGGCUACCGGCGGUGCCGAUCACAGCACAUGGUGGAUGACCCUAGUUAUUCUCGGUGUUUUGAUCGUGGCAACUCUCGGUCAUUUCAAGCCCCUUAAGACCCAUGUAUUUGAGCGCAUGCUGCUUGGACCGCGACCCCAGGUCAGUCGGGACUACCCGCUGAAUUUAAGCAUAUCAAUAAGCGG